CCUACGGGAUGCACCAGUAGGGAAUAUUGCGCAAUGGGGGAAACCCUGACGCAGCGACGCCGCGUGCGGGAUGAAGGCCUUCGGGUUGUAAACCGCUUUCAGCAGGGACGAAAUUGACGGUACCUGCAGAAGAAGGCCCGGCCAACUACGUGCCAGCAGCCGCGGUAAUACGUAGGGGCCAAGCGUUGUCCGGAUUUAUUGGGCGUAAAGAGCUCGUAGGCGGUUCGGCAAGUCAGCUGUGAAAUCUCCACGCUCAACGUGGAGGGGUCAGCUGAUACUGCUGUGACUUGAGUCCGGUAGGGGAGUGUGGAAUUCCCGGUGUAGCGGUGAAAUGCGCAGAUAUCGGGAGGAACACCAGUAGCGAAGGCGGCACUCUGGGCCGGUACUGACGCU
rnacentral:rRNA from 1 species